rnacentral:rRNA from 1 species
AGAGUUUGAUCCUGGCUCAGAUUGAACGCUGGCGGUAUGCUUAACACAUGCAAGUCGAACGGUAACAGCAGAGCUUGCUCUGGCUGACGAGUGGCGGACGGGUGCGUAACGCGUGGGAAUCUACCUUGUAGUGGGGGAUAGCCCGGAGAAAUCCGGAUUAAUACCGCAUAAUCUCUACGGAGCAAAGUGGGGGAUCUUCGGACCUCACGCUAUUAGAUGAGCCCGCGUUAGAUUAGCUUGUUGGUGAGGUAAUGGCUCACCAAGGCAACGAUCUAUAGCUGGUUUGAGAGGAUGAUCAGCCACACUGGGACUGAGACACGGCCCAGACUCCUACGGGAGGCAGCAGUGGGGAAUAUUGGACAAUGGGCGCAAGCCUGAUCCAGCAAUACCGCGUGUGUGAAGAAGGCCUGAGGGUUGUAAAGCACUUUCAAUAGAGACGAAAAGCCUAAGGUACCGUAAGAAGAAGCACCGGCUAACUACGUGCCAGCAGCCGCGGUAAUACGUAGGGUGCGAGCGUUAAUCGGAAUUACUGGGCGUAAAGCGUGCGCAGGCGGCUUUUUAAGACAGGUGUGAAAUCCCCGGGCUUAACCUGGGAAUGGCGCUUGUGACUGGAAGGCUAGAGUGCGGCAGAGGGGGAUGGAAUUCCUGGUGUAGCAGUGAAAUGCGUAGAUAUCAGGAGGAACACCGAUGGCGAAGGCAGUCCCCUGGGUCGACACUGACGCUCAGGCACGAAAGCGUGGGGAGCAAACAGGAUUAGAUACCCUGGUAGUCCACGCCCUAAACGAUGUCAACUAGUUGUUGGGGAAGGAGACUUCUUUAGUAACGUAGCUAACGCGUGAAGUUGACCGCCUGGGGAGUACGGCCGCAAGGUUAAAACUCAAAGGAAUUGACGGGGACCCGCACAAGCGGUGGAUGAUGUGGAUUAAUUCGAUGCAACGCGAAAAACCUUACCUACCCUUGACAUGCCAGGAACUUGCCAGAGAUGGUUUGGUGCCCGAAAGGGAGCCUGGACACAGGUGCUGCAUGGUGGCUGUCGUCAGCUCGUGUCGUGAGAUGUUGGGUUAAGUCCCGCAACGAGCGCAACCAUGGUCAUUAAUUGCCAUCAUUUAGUUGGGCACUUUAAUGAGGCUGCCGGUCAUAAACCGGAGGAAGGUGGGGAUGACGUCAAGUCCUCAUGGCCCUUAUGGGUAGGGCUUCACACGUAAUACAAUGGCGCGUACAGAGGGUUGCCAAGCCGCGAGGUGGAGCUAAUCCCAGAAAGCGCGUCGUAGUCCGGAUUGCACUCUGCAACUCGAGUGCAUGAAGUCGGAAUCGCUAGUAAUCGCGGAUCAGAAUGUCGCGGUGAAUACGUUCCCGGGUCUUGUACACACCGCCCGUCACACCAUGGGAGUGGACUCUGCCAGAAGUAGGUAGCCUAACCGCGAGGGGGGCGGUUACCACGGUGAGAUUCAUGACUGGGGUGAAGUCGUAACAAGGUAACC